UUAGUGGCGAACGGGUGAGUAACGCGUGAGUAACCUGCCCUGGAGUGGGGGACAACAGUUGGAAACGACUGCUAAUACCGCAUAAGCCCACGGAUCCGCAUGGAUCUGCGGGAAAAGGAUUUAUUCGCUUCAGGAUGGACUCGCGUCCAAUUAGCUAGUUGGUGAGGUAACGGCCCACCAAGGCGACGAUCGGUAGCCGGACUGAGAGGUUGAACGGCCACAUUGGGACUGAGACACGGCCCAGACUCCUACGGGAGGCAGCAGUGGGGAAUAUUGCACAAUGGGGGAAACCCUGAUGCAGCGACGCCGCGUGGAGGAAGAAGGUCUUCGGAUUGUAAACUCCUGUUGUUGGGGAAGAUAAUGACGGUACCCAACAAGGAAGUGACGGCUAACUACGUGCCAGCAGCCGCGGUAAAACGUAGGUCACAAGCGUUGUCCGGAAUUACUGGGUGUAAAGGGAGCGCAGGCGGGAAGACAAGUUGGAAGUGAAAUCUAUGGGCUCAACCCAUAAACUGCAUUUGAAACUGUAGAGCUUGAGUGAAGUAGAGGCAGGCGGAAUUCCCCGUGUAGCGGUGAAAUGGCGUAGAGAUGGGGAGGAACACCAGUGGCGAAGGCGGCCUGCUGGGCUUUAACUGACGCUGAGGCACGAAAGCGUGGGUAGCAAACAGGAUUAGAUACCCUGGUAGUCCACGCUGUAAACGAUGAUUACUAGGUGUGGGGGGUCUGACCCCUUCCGUGCCGGAGUUAACACAAUAAGUAAUCCACCUGGGGAGUACGGCCGCAAGGUUGAAACUCAAAGGAAUUGACGGGGGCCCGCACAAGCAGUGGAGUAUGUGGUUUAAUUCGAAGCAACGCGAAGAACCUUACCAGGUCUUGACAUCCAACUAACGAAGUAGAGAUACAUUAGGUGCCCUUCGGGGAAAGUUGAGACAGGUGGUGCAUGGUUGUCGUCAGCUCGUGUCGUGAGAUGUUGGGUUAAGUCCCGCAACGAGCGCAACCCUUGCUAUUAGUUGCUACGCAAGAGCACUCUAAUAGGACUGCCGUUGACAAAACGGAGGAAGGUGGGGACGACGUCAAAUCAUCAUGCCCCUUAUGACCUGGGCUACACACGUACUACAAUGGAUGUUAACAGAGGGAAGCAAGACAGCGAUGUGGAGCAAACCCCUAAAAACAUUCUCAGUUCAGAUUGCAGGCUGCAACCCGCCUGCAUGAAGAUGGAAUUGCUAGUAAUCGCGGAUCAGCAUGCCGCGGUGAAUACGUACCCGGGCCUUGUACACACCGCCCGUCA
rnacentral:rRNA from 1 species